UAAGGAAUAUUGCUCAAUGGGAGAAAUCCUGAAGCAGCAACGCCGCGUGGAGGAUGAAGGGUCUAUGACUUGUAAACUCCUGUAAAGAAGGAAAAAAUUCCCAUUAGAUGGGAGAUGAUGGUACUUCUGGAGUAAGCCCCGGCUAACUACGUGCCAGCAGCCGCGGUAAUACGUAGGGGGCAAGCGUUGUCCGGAUUUACUGGGUGUAAAGGGUGCUCAGGCGGAUUUGUAAGUCAGAGGUGAAAUCUUACAGCUUAACUGUGAAACUGCCUUUGAUACUGCAAGCCUAGAGUAUGGAAGAGAGUGAUGGAAUAUCAGGUGUAGCAGUGAAAUGCGUAGAUAUCAGAUAGAACACCAAUGGCGAAGGCAGUCACUUGGUCCAUUACUGACGCUAAAGCACGAAAGCGUGGGUAGCAAACA
rnacentral:rRNA from 1 species